AAAUGGAAAUAAGCAAAAUACAAUUUUUAAGAAGUAAAAAUAUUGGCAUAAUUUAAUUAAUACUUGAUUAAUUGGCUUCAGCUGUACCAUGAUAUUGUAUCUGGCAUUCUACAUAACUUCUUUUCUUUCUUUCUUUUUCUGUUUUUUUAAACCAACUUAGUAAACUAAUACCAACAAUGAGAAUUAUUUGGUUUUCCUUUAUUUUAUUUUGGCACAGAUUGAUUUAUGUAUAAUAUCUUUUUAACAUUACAGAUGUGAAGUUGUGACUCUUAAGUAGAUAAACUCAGAAGCCUUGUGGAUGCCAGGCUGACUAUAUUUCCUAGUUUACAGUUAGCAAAUUUUUUUCUUUUAAUUUGAGGUGAAAUCUUAAUGGUCUGGGCAGUGGUGAAUGUUCAUCUAUCUGCUUCUGUUGUAGUUAAAAAAAAUAAUAAAACAACUAGAUUGUGGAUUUCCUAAAAUAAUAAAAAAAAAGAAGUCAAGAUCUAUGUCUUGCUUUAGUGGAUUGUUAAGAAUAACUUUGCACAUACUGUCCACCAUUUUGCACCCCUUAAAUCUCCUCUGGUGGUCGAAGUGGCUAUUUAAUAGAUUUUAAAGGUGCCCUUCUGGCUGUAUAAAUGUGUGGUUACAUAUCGACAGUUCACUGCCCACAUUAAAGUGCAUUAUUGUAUCUUUUGCUCAGGGUCUUUAGAAAAUUAGCACAGAAAGUAGCUUAUUUUUAAAAAAAAAGAUGAUGAUGGAAGAGAAGUUAACACUGUAACAGAAGAAAAGUGUGAUCGCCAUUAUAUAUUUAGCAAGUGUGGUCAUCUUCUAUGGAGCUUAAAUCUUGACCUUUCGUAUUUCUCUUACAUUUUGGGCAUUUACCACUAACCAGACCAAACAAUCUUGGUAAGGCUGAGAUCUUAUUUACACACUUUUACAGGUAAAAUAUCGAGACUUAUAAAUUUUGUUCUUUGACAGAACAAUAUAUGGUACUACAGAUCUACUUUAUUAAGUAGACUAAUUAUAACUCAGUUCUCCUAUGUGCCUUAUGAUAUAACUUGGAAGUGAGUUUGUGAAAAAUCAGGAUAUAUGUGUUGUUUGUUAUAUUAACUGUUAACCCUUUCGACACCUCGCUAGUUUUGUACUGUUUUACCUCUUAUUUCUGAAACUCUUUUUAUGGUGUAUCCUGUUAGAGGGGACAAACAUGUCAUAGAAAGCAGUUGUGCACUCUUUCAAAAAUAGUUGAUAAAUUCAAUAAUCUUAUAUAUUGAGCUUCGUGUUUAUAGUACAGUAAGUGAUCUAGCAAAAUUGUCCAUGUUCCUUUGUUUAUUGAUAAAUGCAUUGUAUAGAAACUAUUUCCCCUAAAUAUUUAUGGACCAAACAAUUGUGAUAUAUCCUAUUAAAUUUGUGUGA
rnacentral:lncRNA from 1 species